AUUGAACGCUAGCGGGAUGCUUUACACAUGCAAGUCGAACGAGUGGCGGACGGCUAAGUAAUAUAUCGGACCGUGCCCAGUAGCGGGGGAUAAAUACUCGAAAGAGUUGCUAAUACCGCCUACUAUUGGAGCGGCCGAUAUCGGAUUAGCUAGUUGGUGGGGUAAAGGAUCACUAAGUCAACGAUCCGUAGCUGGUUUGAGAGGACGACAAGCAACAGUGGUACUGAGACACGGCCCAGACUCGUACGGGAGGCAGCAUUGGGGAAUUUUGGACAAUGGGGGAAACCCUGAUGCAUACAGCCCGGGUGUAGGAGAAGGCCUUCGGGUUGUAAAGUACUUUUGGGAGAGAAGCGGUAUCUGAAGAAUAAGCACCGGCUAACUACGUGCCAGCCGCCGCGGUAAUAC
rnacentral:rRNA from 1 species